rnacentral:rRNA from 1 species
UACAGAGGGUGGCAAGCGUUAAUCGGAAUUACUGGGCGUAAAGCGUGCGUAGACGGUUAUGUAAGUCGGGUGUGAAAGCCCCGGGCUCAACCUGGGAAUGCCAUUCGAGACUGCAUAGCUAGGGUGCGGAAGAGGGAAGCGGAAUUUCCGGUGUAGCGGUGAAAUGCGUAGAUAUCGGAAGGAACACCAGUGGCGAAAGCGACUUCCUGGACCAAUACUGACGCUCAUGUGCGAAAAGCGUGGGGAGCAAACAGG